AACGAACGCUGGCGGCAUGCUUUACACAUGCAAGUCGAACGGUAACAGGCCGCAAGGUGCUGACGAGUGGCGAACGGGUGAGUAAUGCAUCGGAACGUGCCCAGUCGUGGGGGAUAACGCAGCGAAAGCUGUGCUAAUACCGCAUACGAUCUAUGGAUGAAAGCGGGGGACCGUAAGGCCUCGCGCGAUUGGAGCGGCCGAUGUCAGAUUAGGUAGUUGGGGGGGUAAAGGCCUACCAAGCCGACGAUCUGUAGCUGGUCUGAGAGGACGACCAGCCACACUGGGACUGAGACACGGCCCAGACUCCGACGGGAGGCAGCAGUGGGGAAUUUUGGACAAUGGGCGCAAGCCUGAUCCAGCAAUGCCGCGUGCAGGAAGAAGGCCUUCGGGUUGUAAACUGCUUUUGUACAGAACGAAACGGUCCUGGUUAAUACCCGGGGCUAAUGACGGUACCGUAAGAAUAAGCACCGGCUAACUACGUGCCAGCAGCCGCCGUAAAAC
rnacentral:rRNA from 1 species